UGGUAAGAAGCAAAUUUUGCAUUUAGUUUCGACCUAAAAUUUUAGUUUUUACUCUACCAU
rnacentral:tRNA from 1 species